UUGACAUCCUUCGAACACAAAAACGCUGCACUGCUUUCUUCUAUCGAAACCUCCCUGAUGAAGUGAAAAGCUAAUUUUCAAUCUGUCAUGUUUGCUUUCUUCUCCUCGCCAGGUUCCAACCCGGAAAACAAAACUGCUUCAACGGAAAGAAAGAGAGAAAAAAGUACUCUGAUUUAAAGUACAGACAACAAAAAAUCCCAACGACGAGACGAGAUCUGAUGAAAGAAAAACUAAUUUUCGAACCGAACCUCGCCGCAACCCAUCAGAAUCAUCCUAGAGAGUCGGGAGGCCGAGUUCCGAGGUGCUCACCCUCCCCGUGGGGAAUGGUUAGGUCAGACCUGAAGUGGCGGUCUUGACAUGGCAGAAACUACGAAAAAUUGAAGAGGCAAAAAAAAACGAACCGAUCUCGAUAGUCCAUCAAAAGGUCACGUCCCAACUCCACGUUGCAGUUGCAUAACUUGGAAAAAGGAAAUUAACACUGGUCAGGAUUUUCAACCUGCAAGGGACGGGUCGGCGCGCGGGGUCGGUUGGCCACUUCCGGAAGGGCUCAGCUCUGUGACGGGUGGUACGUGUUGCACAAAUUAACUAGACGAGCGACCACAGCCAAGUUGCGCAGAGGCCACAACAGAGCGGCACGGAGAGAAAGAAAAAGUCAAAAACACGGUGAAAAAAGUGGCUUUUCCAUGACCGGAAGAGGGGAGCCGCCCAGGCGAUGUCAACUCUGGCGAUGGCGAGGCACCCGUGGUUAUGUGGUCAUCGUCGUCACGGCCAAAGGUCGGACCGGAUUCCAGCGGAGCUUAACAAGAAACAUUCCCAGCCCAAAGACUAACGCGCAAAUCAACGAGGAAAAGCUUGAAGAAAGACAAACACAAACCAACCGAAAUCAAUCAAAUCGAAAACAAACAAACUAGUAGCAGACCUUCAACUUCUGGGCCCGAGGUGGAAGGUCCAUCUUGGAUUUGUUAUUUGUUUUCGAAGGAAUCGAAACAGCAUUAGGCAGCAUUCAGCAAAGUAAAGAAAAAGUGAGGGAAAAAAAUAAGCAAAAUUUGAACUUGUAAUUCCUCGUUAGGCGAAAUCAAACAAAAUCAAUUUAUUACCUGUGUACAGUGAUGAAGGAGAAAAAGUUUAGUAAAAACAAAUGAAUCGCUUAUAGUUGAUAUACUCUUAGCUUGACUGAUUAUGAAAAAAGAAAACUAGCAUUUAAGUGCGUUACACCUUAAGAUCGAGUUCAAUUCCCAGCCACACGUGGAUAAAAAGGUUUUAAAAUUGUUGUCAACUUGAGAUAAGGAAAAAAAGAAGCAUUUUCUAUUACCAAAAAAAAACAAAGAAAACUAUCAAACUGUUGCGUGUUAAAUGUUUACAGCAAAAA